ACAUGGAUAACCCGAAUAAUCCAGUCGUUAUAUUAUGAUCACUUCGAUCACUCCAUUAACCAUUUUCUCGAAAAAAAAAAGUAGUGAAUAGGGGCGCUGAUUUAUUCGAGUUAGUACAUGGAGGAAAGAUAUUCAAAGAUUAGGAGCGACGAUUCAAUAUCCAUUUGUGUAUUGUAUUUGUCGUGGUUGAAACGGCACCAGGAACAUAUCAGGAUAGACAACAAAAGUCUAGUGAGAAAAAUGUUAUGAAACACCAGCAAAAAAGAUUAGAUUGUUAUUCAGUCCUGACUUAUACAGUGUUUCUGAAGAUGGAGAUUAGAUCAGGCCUAUCCAGAAGCAAGAAAAAGAUCAAUUUAAAGCACGUACAUCUACAGGGAGACAUGUUUUAAAAGACAGAUUUAUUUUCAAUUUUCGAAAAACCUGUUGAACUUUUACUAUUUCUUAUCUGUUUAUUUUACAUUUAUAUGUUGAUGUUUUGUUUUUUAAAAGUGCUGCACAGUAUUUCUAUUCAGUCCCAUAUAACAAAAUCAGCUGAAGAAUUUGAUAUUUUCAUAUUUAAAGGGAGUGUCCUUUUGCAUUGUUGAUAGCAGAUAUAAGUAUUGUCUUAAGUUGGGUUUAAAAACAGCCAGAUCGCAACUUCGAAUAAAAUACAUUUUUAUGAAUGUUAUAUGUCAUUAAAUAGACAUGAAAGAUGGAAAAUUAUAUAGGAACACAUUUUUUAAUACCUAAAUGUAUUGUC